UACGUAGGGUGCGAGCGUUGUCCGGAAUUAUUGGGCGUAAAGAGCUCGUAGGCGGUUCGUCGCGUCGGCUGUGAAACCCGGAACGCUCAACUCCGGGCCUGCAGUCGAUACGGGCGGACUUGAGUGUUGCAGGGGAGACUGGAAUUCCUGGUGUAGCGGUGAAAUGCGUAGAUAUCGCUUGGAACGCCGAAGGUGAAAACAGGCUGCUGGGGUUGCGCCGACGCUGGAGACACGAAAGCCAGGGGAGCAAACGGG
rnacentral:rRNA from 1 species